UUGCGUCGUUAUCGAUAUUGUUAAGCGGCGCGUGUCCUUACCCAUCGAACGACUUACCGAGUGGGGAGAGAGCACAGUUCUGUUUCGACCGCGGUAGUGUUUACACGCGUUGGUACUACGCACGUCGAUUUUCGAUAUAAUUUCAAAUCGUGCAUAAUUUUCGUUUUUAAAAUACGCACGUUUUAUCUACGAGUGUCUAAAGUGUAUAUAUUCGCGAGUGUUUAAAGUGCACGUGUUUUAUUUGCGAAUAUUUAUAGUAUAUACGCGAUUAUUUACGACUGCGAGGAUAUUGCGCAUUUUAUUCGCGGUGAGAAGGUACAUUUCGUUGUCGUGGACGGAAGGAAGCUAUUGAAUUGCCGGUGUGAUAGUGUUAUCCGUAAAUGUUGAGGACAUUUCUUCACAAACUCCUGUGAUUUCUUCAAAAACAGAAUUUACAAGACCUUCGUAAGAAGUUCGUCGUCAUUUCGUGGAAUAUUACGUGCUAUCGCUUCGUAACAGCCUCUUUGUUUUCAUCUAAUGUAGAUGUUGCCGUCCCUGGCGAAGCACGUCAACUCGGCGGCGAGAGGCACACGGCAGUGGCAGCAACGAAGACAGCCGCAGUGCCACGCGCGGUCCGCAGCCCUCAGGUACCAUCGCUCGGCUAUC